UACGUAGGGUGCAAGCGUUGUCCGGAAUUAUUGGGCGUAAAGAGCUCGUAGGCGGUUCGUCGCGUCGGCUGUGAAAACCCGGAGCUCAACUCCGGGCCUGCAGUCGAUACGGGCGGACUUGAGUGUUGCAGGGGAGACUGGAAUUCCUGGUGUAGCGGUGAAAUGCGCAGAUAUCGGGAGGAACACCCGUAGCGAAGGCGGCACUCUGGGCCGGUACUGACGCUGAGGAGCGAAAGCGUGGGGAGCAAACAGG
rnacentral:rRNA from 1 species